rnacentral:rRNA from 1 species
CCUACGGGUGGCAGCAGUGGGGGAUAUUGCACAAUGGGGGGAACCCUGAUGCAGCGACGCCGCGUGGGUGAAGAAGCGCCUCGGUGCGUAAAGCCCUGUCAGCAGGGAAGAAAAUGACGGUACCUGAAGAAGAAGCCCCGGCUAACUACGUGCCAGCAGCCGCGGUAACACGUAGGGGGCAAGCGUGAUCCGGAUUUACUGGGUGUAAAGGGGGCGCAGACGGCGAUGCAAGCCAGGAGUGAAAGCCCGGGGGCCAACCCCGGGACGGCUCUUGGAACGGCGUGGCUGGAGUGCAGGAGAGGCAGGCGGAAUUCCUGGUGUAGCGGUGAAAUGCGUAGAUAUCAGGAGGAACACCGGUGGCGAAGGCGGCCUGCUGGACUGCAACUGACGUUGAGGCCCGAAAGCGUGGGGAGCAAACAGGAUUAGAUACCCGUGUAGUC